rnacentral:snRNA from 1 species
AGCUGUGAGGGCCAUCUGGCUGCCACAUCUGUCAUCUCAUUGAUGGUGAAAUUUGAAUUACUGAUUUGGCUGGCUAGACCCAUCUCUCUUCCUCACAAUUCCAUUUAGGUCCAUCUCAAAGCUGUUGAUUAGUGGGAGAUAGUGACCUUCCUCAAUAAAGGAGAACCAGUCUUUGAUCAAGAGUGUCAAAGCUAUAUGAAUGGCUGCACCUCCCUGCUAGAACAUCCAAACCAGCUCUCAAGGAAACAGGCUGUGUGACAACAGGUUGCUUAGAGAGAGGUGUGUUUACUC